UGAAAUUAGUUCAUAUAUAUAUAUAUAUAUUGGAAUUCAAAUUUCAAUAGGACUCUCACUAUGACCUGACUUAACAACUUUCUAUACGCAUGACUAGACCAGCAAUUAAAUUACUUUGCACUUCCAAUGGAUAUUAAUUAUAUUGAGAUAGACUCUUAAAUGAUCAUCAACUAGCCACUAGCUUUAUAAAGCACCAGCUUUAUAUAAAGCACUAGCUUCUCCAAAGCUGUAGUUUUGAUCCAACGCUAUUAAGCUACCAUUAAUAUAAAAUGCCACCGUCCGAGUAAAUAUCCUUCACCAGAUCAAUAGCAUUCGCUUUGAAAGAAAAUAGGAAGAAAUGGGAGGUAAUGAAAGCAGGGAAAGCUCUAAACAGGAAGGAGGAGGUGAAAAUGCUGCUGCAUCGUCCGGUGACGUCGACUCUGGGUUGACAAAAGGAGCAGUCGCCGCUGGCGCUAUCGCCGGACUCGCCGCUGUGGCUUUGGGCGUAGCUAAAAUACUUUCGGAUUCGUCAUCAUCAGGAGGGGAGAGAAAAACCAUGAAAGCGCCCGGACAAGAUAACCAGAGGAUUGACAGGGACGAGUUUGAGCGUGACCCUGCUGACUAUUUCAAAAACUUGCGCAAGUCGAAGAAAUAGUACGUAGUAGAUCACUAGCUCAUGCUUCUUCUUUGUUCAUGCAAACCCUAUUCAGCUUCAUGCAUUAUCCUAGCUUAUCUGUGUUCUAGCUUGUACCUGAAAUCUUUAUGCUUUAUCUAUGUUAUUGUGAUUAAUUAGAGUCUAUGAUUGCCUUGUCGUGUUGGAUCUAUUCCUGUUUAUGCAGAGUCCGUAUCUUUCGUUUUAACUUCCAGUCUUCGAUCACUAAGAAUGCAAAAUGAAGAUGUUUCAUAAUCAACAUUCAGUUAGGUAAAAAUAACACGUACAUUCUUUACUGGAUCGGAUGAAGUGACAAUGUAUAAGAAUGGAACCUGACUUGGUUUAGAGUCUUGAGAGUGAAACAAGGUCGAGUGAUCGAUUGCUGACUAAAUCAUCAAGGAGAGUAAAGUGACGGGAAGGCCGGCAUACCUCUUCGUCCUCUACUGCAUGCUGCCGUUCAUUAUCAUCACCAUCAUCAUCGUCUUCAACAAAUCUGAGUCUCUCAAUUCAAAUGGUGCUCAUGAGUUUCACAAAGUUGGAAAAUAUUCAAUUGUCUCGCAGCAAUGGAUCUGGAGAAUACUUAAGAGAAAGAGACGAAAGAGAGAAUGGACGAAUAGAUCUAAAGAACGAGACCAAGAGUGAAAAAAUGAGAGAGACCGUGUUAACUUGAAAACCCAAAAAUCUCACAAUAGUACUAGCCAAGGAGGGUUAGGAGGCUGAGAGCAAAAAACAUGUGUUAAGUGGUACCCUUUAUUUUUGUACUCCCCCUUACCAAACACAGAUCAAACCACUUAAUACCUCUUAUCUAGUACAAUACCCUUUAGUCCCAAAUACCAAACAUACAAUUGGGGUACAACAUCUAAAGAAGAUCAUGCAUGAUCAUAGUCAAGGACCACAUGUUGUCUCAGCAAUAAUAAUAGGCACCGAUGGGCAAUAAUAAUGCAUGUCUUAAACGACGGAAGUUGUAGCGGAGCAACGUAGCAUUUUCUAAAACAUCAACACGUACGUGUUUGGUUGUUAGUGGCUGGUCGUAUAUGUGAGGUGGUACGUUUGCCGUACGUAAGAACUUCUCCGUUGAUAUGUACUCCGACGGUGGUGCUUUAUAUAAAGCACUAGCUUUGAUCCAAAAAAUAAAAAAUUUGAUCCAACGCUUUAUAUAAAGCACUAGCUUUAGAAACCACUAGUUUUAUAUAAAGCACUAGCUUCUCCAAAGCUCUAGUUUUGAUCCAACGCUACCAUUAAUAUAAAGCACCAAAGGUCUACCACCCUCCGAGCACAUAUCUUUCACCAAAUCAAUAGCAUUCGCUUUGAAAGAAAAUAGGAAGAAAUGGGAGCUAGUGAAAGCAGGGAAAGCUCUCGACAGGAAGGAGGUGAAAAUACUGGCGCUAUCGUCGCACUGGCCGCUGCCGCUAUCGCCGGACUCGCCGCUGUGGUUUUGGUCGUAGCCCGACUUCUUUCGGAUUCAUCAGGAGGGGAGAAAAAAACCAUGAAAGCGCCCGGACGAAAUAACCAGAGGAUUAAAAGGGACGACUUUGAGCGUGACCCUGCUUCCUAUUUCAAAAGCUUGCGCAAGUAGAAGGACCAGUAGUAGAUCACUAGUUCAUGCUUCUUCUUUGUUCAUGCAAACCCUAUUCAGCUUCAUGCAUCCUAGCUUAUCUGUGUUCUUGUACCAGUAAUCUUUAUGCUUUAUCUAUGUUAUUGUGAUUAAUUAGAGUCUAUGAUUGCCUUGUCGUACUGGAUUUAUACCUGUUAUUUAUGCAGAGUCCGUAUAUUUCGUUUUAACUUCAGUCUUCGAUCACUAAGAAUGCAAAAUGAAGAUGUUUCAUAAUCAACAUUCAAUUGGGUAAAAAUAACACGUACAUUCUUUACUGGAUUGGAUGAAGUGACAAUGUAUAAGAAUGGCCUUCCAUAUUGAAGAGAGAACUCGAGUCCAUCACAAUUGACGAUAUCCCUGCUUCCAUGACAACGUUCUUGAUAGCAAAUACAG
rnacentral:lncRNA from 1 species